rnacentral:rRNA from 1 species
AUCAUGGUCAGGACGAACGCUGGCGGCGUGCUUAACACAUGCAAGUCGAACGGAAAGGCCCUGCUUUUGUGGGGUGCUCGAGUGGCGAACGGGUGAGUAACACGUGAGUAACCUGCCCUUGACUUUGGGAUAACUUCAGGAAACUGGGGCUAAUACCGGAUAGGAGCUCCUGCUGCAUGGUGGGGGUUGGAAAGUUUCGGCGGUUGGGGAUGGACUCGCGGCUUAUCAGCUUGUUGGUGGGUAGUGGCUUACCAAGGCUUUG